GACGGAGGAUGCAAGUGUUAUCCGGAAUCACUGGGCGUAAAGCGUCUGUAGGUGGUUUAAAAAGUCCACUGUUAAAGAUUGAAGCUUAACUUCAAAAAUGCCGUGGAAACUUUUAAACUUGAGUAUGAUAGGGGUAGAGGGAAUUUCCAGUGGAGCGGUGAAAUGCGUAGAUAUUGGAAAGACCACCAAUGGCGAAGGCACUCUACUGGGCCAUUACUGACACUGAGAGACGAAAGCUAGGGGAGCGAAUGGG
rnacentral:rRNA from 1 species